GCCCUCCGCAGGAUGCCCGGCACAGCGGCGAGGAGACCGCAGGCUGUGGGGAGGGGCUGAGGUUACUGUCACCUGGGCCGGCCUCACUGGGGUCCCUCCUGCAGUCCACGCACCCCCUGGCACCCGGUCCUACUCGGCCUGGCCUUUCUGCCCGAGGCGGCAGGGACAGGCGCAGGGCAGAUGCCCAGAAGUGGAGCCGCAGGGCUUGGCUAGGGAGCCCCCGUGGGGGUCUGGACAGGCACACGGCAACCCGCCGUCUCCUCCACGCCCUCACCCUCCCCUUCCCUUCGUGUGCUGGGAAGAGGACCCAGGCCCAAGAAGCUGGUCUCCAGCCUGGCCACCUCCCAUGGCACACAGACAAGCCCAACACGAUGGCGGCUCCCUGGACCAGGUGCUGAAAGAGGCCAAGAGGAUUCCCGAGGAGAUCCUGGGGAAAGUCAGCAUCGCGGUUCUCCGGGGCUUGGCGUACCUCCGAGAGAAGCACCAGAUCAUGCACCGAGAUGUGAAGCCCUCCAACAUCCUCGUGAACUCUAGAGGGGAGAUCAAGCUGUGUGACUUUGGGGUGAGCGGCCAGCUCAUCGACUCCAUGGCCAACUCCUUCGUGGGCACGCGCUCCUACAUGGCUCCGGAGCGGUUGCAGGGCACACAUUACUCGGUGCAGUCGGACAUCUGGAGCAUGGGCCUGUCCCUGGUGGAGCUGGCCAUCGGAAGGUACCCCAUCCCCCCGCCCGACGCCAAGGAGCUGGAGGCCAUCUUUGGCCGGCCCGUGGUCGACGGGGAAGAAGGAGAGCCUCACAGCAUCUCGCCUCGGCCGAGGCCCCCCGGGCGCCCCAUCAGCGGUACGG
rnacentral:sRNA from 1 species